rnacentral:rRNA from 1 species
AUACGGAGGAUCCGAGCGUUAUCCGGAUUUAUUGGGUUUAAAGGGAGCGUAGGCGGGAGAUCAAGUCAGCUGUGAAAUGUAGACGCUCAACGUCUGCACUGCAGUUGAAACUGGUCCCCUUGAGUGCGUAAGGGGCAGGCGGAAUUCGUCGUGUAGCGGGGAAAUGCUUAGAUAUGACAAAGAACUCCGAUCGCGAAGGCAGCUUGCCGGGCCGCAACUGACGCUGAAGCUCGAAGGUGCGGGUAUCGAACAGGAUUAGAUACCCUGGUAGUCCGCACAGUAAACGAUGGAUACUCGCUGUCGGCGAUAUACGGUCGGUGGCCAAGCGAAAGCGUUAAGUAUCCCACCUGGGGAGUACGCCGGCAACGGUGAAACUCAAAUGAAUUGACGGGG